CCGACGGUGAGGGACGAAAGCUGGGGGAGCAAACCGGAUUAGAUACCCGGGUAGUCCCAGCUGUAAACGAUGCGCGUUAGGUGUGUCAGUGACCACGUGUCACUGAUGUGCCGAAGGGAAACCGUGAAACGCGCCGCCUGGGGAGUACGGUCGCAAGGCUGAAACUUAACGGAAUUGGCGGGGGAGCACCACAACGGGUGGAGCCUGCGGUUUAAUCGGACUCAACGCCGGAAAUCUCACCGGAUAA
rnacentral:rRNA from 1 species